GUGGGGAAUAUUGCACAAUGGGCGCAAGCCUGAUGCAGCAACGCCGCGUGAGGGAUGACGGCCUUCGGGUUGUAAACCUCUUUUAGUAGGGAAGAAGCGCAAGUGACGGUACCUGCAGAAAAAGCACCGGCUAACUACGUGCCAGCAGCCGCGGUAAUACGUAGGGUGCAAGCGUUGUCCGGAAUUAUUGGGCGUAAAGAGCUCGUAGGCGGCUUGUCGCGUCUGCCGUGAAAACCCGAGGCUCAACCUCGGGCGUGCGGUGGGUACGGGCAGGCUAGAGUGCGGUAGGGGAGAUUGGAAUUCCUGGUGUAGCGGUGGAAUGCGCAGAUAUCAGGAGGAACACCGAUGGCGAAGGCAGAUCUCUGGGCCGUAACUGACGCUGAGGAGCGAAAGCAUGGGGAGCGAACAGGAUUAGAAACCCGUGUAGUCC
rnacentral:rRNA from 1 species